UUUCACCUUCUGCAGUGAAGUCAUGCUUCUUGUGGCUGUGACCCCAGAAUCAGUUGCUAGAGAAAUAAAUGUGGUGGCACAGAUUAAAUCACGGAUUUCAGCACAGAAUUGAGUGCAUGGACAAAGGAGAAGAUAAGUGCCUUUCUAAAAUAGAUACAUUUAUUAGAAAAAUCCAUUUGUUUUUGUCAGCUCUGUUUGAACAGAUUGUUCCAGAAUCAAAAUCUCCACUUAAUAGAAAUAUAUAUAUAUUUAAAUUUUGCAGUGAUCUUGUGCUCCUGGGUCUUGCCUAGUUUCCACUUAGAUAAGCUGAGAGGUUUACGCUACUUUCAAUGGACUUUGUUUAAAACCUCUGUUAGAAACUCCUCGUGUCUGGCAAUGCUAAACUGAGAAGGCAGUAUUGAAAAUAGGAGUUUGUCAUGUAACUCGCUUUCAGAGAACCCAGAUCCAGAGUGUGCUGGACUCUGCUUUUCUAUUCUCUCAGCCUCUCUUAAAUGCAAAGGGAGAUAAUCUUUUCCUAGAAGCACUUAGAACAAGAUUUUAAACCAUGAGUGCUGAGGUAUCAGAGUUCCUUUUUACCCAAAUAUCUGGAAAUAUGGCCUUCCUUGUGAUGUUCCUACACAAUUUUAGCAUAAAUGUAACAGUUAUAUCUGCAAAUGAGAAAAAUAUAUUCUGCAAUAAGACUUGCCUGGACUGCAAAUUAAAAUGUUUAAAGAACAUCAUUCUUUAGUUUUAGGCUCACCCGUAGUGGAAUGCGAUAUUGUAGAUUCCUUGUCUACCUCUUGCUCAGCCUUUGCUGUCUAAACAUAGGAUGUGCUGCUCAGGUCAAUGUGCUUGCUUUCACUGUUAGGGAGAAGCUCUGAAGGGAGCAGGAUGAAGCCAAAUACUGAACUGCGUGCUGGAGGCUGCUGUUGACUACAGAUGGAGUUGAAGUGAUCAGCUGAGAUCCACUUCUAGAUGGGUAAAGCCAGUUUGAGUGUGCUUACGUGUCUUCUGUGGGAAGAGGAGCAAUGGUUUGCCAUGAGCACUGCCCACCAAAUUGGAAGAAGAUAUAAUGAAUCUUCUCUGCAUCACAAGAAAAAGGCUACUCAAUCUUAAGACAACAUUUUAAUCUCAGUCAAAAAGGGGCAUCUUCAACAUAAGGCUGUCUGCAGUCAUGGGCAUGUCUCAAACGUUAACAAACAUCAUAUUUGAUGCUUCUUCCUCUGCCCAAGAAUAUAACUUUAUCAAAAGGAAAUUUCCUACUCGUUUGAGCAGUCUCCAUAGCAACAGCGCUGUACACCUGUGAUGUAUGGGCACAAGCUGUUACAACCUAUGAACUAGCUGGAGUGAGCUGUGCCCCACCCCCUGCCAAAGCCAGAGUACGUCUCCCAUGUAUCCAUGGCACCUGGUUCUCCGUGCCCCUGUUGCUAGCAGAAGCCCAGGUUCGACAAACCCUCCAGGAGGCUCUUGAGGUGCACUCAGGAGAUGUUGCUGAGAGGCACGAGCGGCUAGCUGUGCAAAAGCCACCUGAUGGUGUCAGGAAGAUGCCAUGCUCCAGUUGCACUGCAUCCUGCUGCCAUGGGCUGUGUGCAUGCAGCAGCAUCACCAGAGGAGAUGAUUCCAGAGUCCAACACCUGAGCACGGCCCCUCUGUCCUCAGCACCACGCCCUGCCCUCCGGCUCCCACCUGAGGAUUUGCUCCCAGAUGUUGUGUCACAGAAGUCAUUGGGAGGUGGCAUUGAGGCAUGUCCUGCAAUGGUGAGGAGAGGAGAGCCACUGACUUCAGAGCAAUGGAGAACGAAGAUGCCUUUGUGUUCACCCUGAAAUACAUCUGUGCUACAGUAAUAUGCUUCUGAAUCAGUGGCAGGGAGGUUGCUUACAGUUGUGCUAUUUUUACUGCAGUGAAAGCAAAGGAAGGCAUGCAAGGCUGUGAGCACAGGUAAGGCAGGGGUUAUGGGUUACUGGGUACAGCAGGCUGCAGCCUGUGGGCAGAGCAGUGAGGUUGAGCCCUGCUUUGGGCACCACAGUGGCAGCAGCCUAGGGAGUUCACUCAACCCAGGGGCAGCUUCUGGGGCUGUCUGUGAGCUCUGUCGCGGUGGUUUGGAUUUCAUGUCGCUCCCAUCCCUUGGUACUGUCCUGAUGGGUCGGUAUUGGUGGCAGUGAGCUGAUAAGUGAAGACAUCACAUAGAGGGAUUAGAUCCCUAAGGGGUUGUUUGAAUUUGGAGGAUAGCACAGA